rnacentral:misc_RNA from 1 species
GCAAACUUGGUCAUUUAGAGGAAGUAAAAGUCGUAACAAGGUUUCCGUAGGUGAACCUGCGGAAGGAUCAUUACGAGUACGGACGCUACGUCCGCUUUCCAUCCACAUCCCCACUGUGAACCUUUCCCUGUUGCUUCGGCGGGCCCGCGGCCAGCCCCCGCCCGACUGUCCCCCCGUGAGGGGGAGCGGUUGGAGUGCCCGCCAGAAGACCAGCUUUUAAACCCCUUUGUUUUGGUGCCUGUCUGAAUUUUUACCUAAUAAAUAAAACUUUCAACAACGGAUCUCUUGGUUCUCGCAUCGAUGAAGAACGCAGC